CCCUUAGAUGUCCUGGGCCGCACGCGCGCUACACUGAUGCAUUCAACGAGUUUCUUCCUGGUCCGAGAGGAAUGGGUAACCUUUUGAAAGUGCAUCGUGGUAGGGAUAGACUAUUGCAAUUAUUGGUCUUCAACGAGGAAUUCCUAGUAGACGUAGUUCAUCAGACUGCAUCGAUUACGUCCCUGCCCUUUGUACACACCGCCCGUCGCUCCUACCGAUUGAAUGCUCAGGUGAGCCAUUCGGACUUUCAUCAUGCUGGUUUCCAGUUUUGAUGAAGGAAAGUCUUGCGAACCUUAUCAUUUAGAGGAAGGAGAAGUCGUAACA
rnacentral:rRNA from 1 species